rnacentral:rRNA from 1 species
GACGAACGCUGGCGGCGUGCUUAACACAUGCAAGUCGAACGGAAAGGCCCUGCAUUUGUGGGGUGCUCGAGUGGCGAACGGGUGAGUAACAAGUGAGUAACCUGCCCUUGACUUUGGGAUAACUUCAGGAAACUGGGGCUAAUACCGGAUAGGAGCUCCUGCUGCAUGGUGGGGGGUGGAAAGUUUCGGCGGUUGGGGAUGGACUCGCGGCUUAUCAGCUUGUUGGUGGGGUAGUGGCUUACCAAGGCUUUGACGGGUAGCCGGCCUGAGAGGGUGACCGGCCACAUUGGGACUGGGAUACGGCCCAGACUCCUACGGGAGGCAGCAGUGGGGAAUAUUGCACAAUGGGCGGAAGCCUGAUGCAGCAACGCCGCGUGCGGGAUGACGGCCUUCGGGUUGUAAACCGCUUUCGCCUGUGACGAAGCGUGAGUGACGGUAAUGGGUAAAGAAGCACCGGCUAACUACGUG